CCUUUUUAUGUACUGCCCUAUGGAGAGGCACACAUGUCAAGAAACUGAGGGAAUGCCUUCCAGCCAACAGCCAGCCAGGAACUAAGGUGCUCAGUACAGCAGCCUCCACAAGACUGAAUAAUGCCAACAGCUAUUUGAUUGUGCUUGGAAGAAGAUCUCCAUUUAGUUGAACCUUCAGAUGAGACUGCAGCCCUGGCCAGCAAACAAAUUGCAGCCUAUGGAAAGACCUUAAGGCAGAGACACCCAACUGAACCACCCAAGGGCUCUGACUUACAGAAACUGUGAGCACAUAGUGAAAUGGCCUCUACCUUAUUUCGAAAGAAUUUCUGGGAUAAAGUUCUUCAGUGAUAACACGUUUGAACGCGAAUCAGAGCGAACGACGUGAAAAGAGUUCUGUUUCUCCUGGAAGGAUGCCACUUGUUUCCACUCCCAGGGAAAUGUCUUCCAAGCUCUUUACCAAAUCUGCAAGCUGAACCAACUCAACUGUGGCUGCCUUGCCCACCUGAAGACCUCAGGAUCCACCAGCAGCCCAAGACACCUCGAAGCUGGUGCAAGGACAAGUGUCGCCUGCACACGUCAGCACAAAUGGGAACAUGAUGAGUGAUGCUGCCUAGAGUUGAAGGAGGCCAGGAGCACCAGAAGCUGGAGGAGGCUGGGGUGGAUUCUCCCCUGGGGACUUCAGCAGGAGCACGGGCUCCUGACACUUCAGUUCCAUCUCUUGUUUAAAGGCACCCAGUUUUUCAUCAUUUGUUACAGCAGCUUGGAAAACUCACACACAAGUGAAGCCCCGACCUACCCCACAAGUGCCCAUCUGAGCAUCCCUUGUUGGCUCUGAGCAGAGAGUUGCCACCACUACCUCCACGUCUUGCAACCCCUCUUCCCUUCACUUUGACUGCCACCUUCUUCAUUGCCCAGGAAAAAAAAUAAUGAAAUUUCACCAUUAAAAGUGUUUCAGUGCAGUUUGCUAUGGGAACACUGGUGAGUAACCCAAAUGGCCAGUUGUCCUAAUAGCCACCAUGGAUUGGAUGGAUGCUAACAACAGGCUUAGAACUCCCCAUCUGUUGCCUCCUUUUAUCCACAUGAGAAUCAGACAAGUAGAUGCUGCUGGUAUUACUGUACUUUUCUCGUUUUACAGGUCAGGAUGGGGAGGGUUGAGGAGGUUAAGGAUGUUGUUUGAGGUCACACUGCAGUUAAGAAAGGAAAAAGGACUUAGAAACUUAUUCUUCCAACUUUAGAACCAAGGUCAGUGACCAAGGCCCUGCUUAGAACUUUCUGAAGGUCACAGCUGGCCUUCUACCUGGAGUUUUGACUUCCUUUCUGAGAUAGGAACUUGAAUGGCAAUCACAAGAAAGUUCAGAACUUCUCUUUCGUAUUUUAGGCAUUCCUUUAUUUUUAAAAUUUAUUUUAAUUUACGAAUACUAAUUGUAUAUAUGUAUAAGGCAUGAUAUGAUAUUUUGAUAUGGCCACCUUGUGAAAUAACUAAAUGAGUCUCAUUACCAA